rnacentral:rRNA from 1 species
ACGGGUGAGUAACACGUAGGCAACCUGCCCUCAAGCCUGGGAUAACUACCGGAAACGGUAGCUAAUACCGGAUAAUUUCUUUCUUCUCCUGAGGAGAGAAUGAAAGGCGGAGCAAUCUGCUGCUUGGGGAUGGGCCUGCGGCGCAUUAGCUAGUUGGUGGGGUAACGGCCCACCAAGGCGACGAUGCGUAGCCGACCUGAGAGGGUGAACGGCCACACUGGGACUGAGACACGGCCCAGACUCCUACGGGAGGCAGCAGUAGGGAAUCUUCCGCAAUGGGCGAAAGCCUGACGGAGCAACGCCGCGUGAGUGAUGAAGGUUUUCGGAUCGUAAAGCUCUGUUGCCAGGGAAGAACGUCCGGUAGAGUAACUGCUGCCGGAGUGACGGUACCUGAGAAGAAAGCCCCGGCUAACUACGUGCCAGCAGCCGCGGUAAUACGUAGGGGGCAAGCGUUGUCCGGAAUUAUUGGGCGUAAAGCGCGCGCAGGCGGUUAUUUAAGUCUGGUGUUUAAACCUUGGGCUCAACCUGAGGUCGCACUGGAAACUGGGUGACUUGAGUACAGAAGAGGAAAGUGGAA